rnacentral:rRNA from 1 species
AUUGAACGCUGGCGGCAUGCCUUACACAUGCAAGUCGAACGGUAACAGGUCUUCGGAUGCUGACGAGUGGCGAACGGGUGGGUAAUACAUCGGAACGUGCCUAGUAGUGGGGGAUAACUACUCGAAAGAGUGGCUAAUACCGCAUGAGAUCUACGGAUGAAAGCAGGGGAUCGCAAGACCUUGUGCUACUAGAGCGGCCGAUGGCAGAUUAGGUAGUUGGGGGGAUAAAAGCUUACCAAGCCGACGAUCUGUAGCUGGUCUGAGAGGACGAUCGGCCACACUGGGACUGAGACACGGCCCAGACUCCUACGGGAGGCAGCAGUGGGGAAUUUUGGACAAUGGGCGCAAGCCUGAUCCAGCAAUGCCGCGUGCAGGAUGAAGGCCUUCGGGUUGUAAACUGCUUUUGUACGGAACGAAAAGCCCUGGGUUAAUACCCUGGGGUCAUGACGGUACCGUAAGAGUAAGCACCGGCUAACUACGAGCCAGCCGCCGCAGUAA